AACGAACGCUGGCGGCAGGCCUAACACAUGCAAGUCGAGCGCCCUUUCGGGGGAGCGGCGGACGGGUGAGUAACGCGUGGGAAUAUGCCCUUCUCUACGGAAUAGCCUCGGGAAACUGAGAGUAAUACCGUAUACGCCCUGUGGGGGAAAGAUUUAUCGGGGAAGGAUUAGCCCGCGUUGGAUUAGGUAGUUGGUGGGGUAAUGGCCUACCAAGCCGACGAUCCAUAGCUGGUUUGAGAGGAUGAUCAGCCACACUGGGACUGAGACACGGCCCAGACUCCUACGGGAGGCAGCAGUGGGGAAUCUUAGACAAUGGGGGCAACCCUGAUCUAGCCAUGCCGCGUGAGUGAUGAAGGCCUUAGGGUUGUAAAGCUCUUUCAGCUGGGAAGAUAAUGACGGUACCAGCAGAAGAAGCCACGGCUAACUCCGUG
rnacentral:rRNA from 1 species